UGGGGAAUAUUGGACAAUGGGCGAAAGCCUGAUCCAGCCAUGCCGCGUGUGUGAAGAAGGUCUUCGGAUUGUAAAGCACUUUAAGUUGGGAGGAAGGGCAGUAAGCGAAUACCUUGCUGUUUUGACGUUACCGACAGAAUAAGCACCGGCUAACUCUGUGCCAGCAGCCGCGGUAAUACAGAGGGUGCAAGCGUUAAUCGGAAUUACUGGGCGUAAAGCGCGCGUAGGUGGUUCGUUAAGUUGAAUGUGAAAGCCCCGGGCUCAACCUGGGAACUGCAUCCAAAACUGGCGGGCUAUGGUAGGGCAGAGGGUGGUGGAAUUUCCUGUGUAGCGAUGAAAUGCGUAGGUAUAGGAAGGAACACCAGUGGCGAAGGCGACCACCUGGGCUCAUACUGACACUGAGGUGCGAAAGCGUGGGGAGCAAACAGG
rnacentral:rRNA from 1 species